rnacentral:rRNA from 1 species
CAUAAUCAUUAGUCUUUUAAUUGAAGGCUGGUAUGAAUGGUUGGAUGAAAUAUUAACUGUUUCAUUUAAAAUUAUUAUAGAAUUUUAUUUUUUAGUUAAAAAGCUAAAAUUUUAUUAAAAGACGAGAAGACCCUAUAAAUCUUUAUAUAUUAUUUAUAUUAAUUAUAUAGAUUUUUUUGAUUAUUAUGUAUUUAAUAUAUUUUAUUGGGGUGAUAUUAAAAUUUAAAAAACUUUUAAUUUAUAAAAUCCAUAAAUUAAUGAAUAUAUGAUCCAUUAUUAAUGAUUAAAAAUUUAAGUUACUUUAGGGAUAACAGCGUAAUUUUUUUGGAGAGUUCAUAUCGAUAAAAAAGAUU